rnacentral:rRNA from 1 species
UACGUAGGGUGCGAGCGUUGUCCGGAAUUAUUGGGCGUAAAGAGCUCGUAGGCGGCUUGUCGCGUCGGAUGUGAAAGCCCGGGGCUUAACUCCGGGUCUGCAUUCGAUACGGGCAGGCUAGAGUGUGGUAGGGGAGAUCGGAAUUCCUGGUGUAGCGGUGAAAUGCGCAGAUAUCAGGAGGAACACCGGUGGCGAAGGCGGAUCUCUGGGCCUGUUCUGACGCUGAGGAGCGAAAGCGUGGGGAGCGAACAGG